UCCCCAGUGGUCCAGUGGUGAGGACUCUGCGCUUCCACUGCUGGGGCACAGUUUGAUCCCUGGUUGGGGAA
rnacentral:tRNA from 1 species